rnacentral:lncRNA from 9 species
CGGGAGGCUGGCAGAGAUGAGGCAGAAGCCAUAAGAAAGGCCACGCCAUGAAGUCUCUCCUCAGGCAUAAGAAGGGUUUGACUCGAAGGGUGUGGAAAGCAAUCUGAUGGCGUCUCUUCUCUUCACCCAACAGAAUGGACACCGUGCAUUUUGCCUGUGGCACAUACCAGCCAGUCUGGAAGCAUUUGCUAAAUGAAAGAAGUCGCAUGAUCUGAUUUUCAUUUAAAAUAUCACUCUGAACUGCUACCAGCGUUGACCUUCUGGGAGGAGACCGGGGUCGCAGAGGAUGAGUAGAAUACACGUAUUUUCGAGGCACCGUAACACAGAGACAUGGGAGGUCGAAGCUGCUCUCUAACCCUUGAAGCCAUUUGGUGUUUUUAAACAAAAGACAGAAAAAGGUCCGUGAAAAGGGAUCAAAUAAAUGACAACUGAUGUCCUAAGCCUUUUGUGUUUUUCUAAACUAUUAAAAAAGAAGAAGAAAAGAAAAAACACUACAAAGAAUCUCUGUCUCGCCUAUAAAAAGAGGAACAGAAGGGAGCUCAAAGUCAGCCCCCCCGCCCCACACACACAGAGUUUUGGAGGAAAACUGUCAAGAAAAAACACCCUCCUAUAUCUAGGCACAGGGACAAUUACUAAUUCCUCUCUCUUAGCACAUCCAAAACGUUACCUGGGGGGAGUCUAGCUCAGCAUCCGGUUCUGAGAGGCCGGCUGCCAGGGGGAGGAGUUGCGUGGACUUGAGAGAGAGGAGCAGGUACUGCAACAGGAACCAGGUUCUAAAACCUCACUGCUUUCAUGUCUUCCCACCUCCGCACCGGUCACUAAACAGACACACAGGGAAGCCGCGCACAGCGGAGUUGCUAAGACAUACAUCACAGUUCUCAAGAGACUUUUUUUGCCAAAAUGAUCUCUGGACAUCAUCUAGGGUCUCUGUUUACAGAACUGUAAGUGCUGAAAGGAUGAAGAAACAGGGGUUCACCUAGGAGUCGUGGAGGUCAUUACGUCCAAAAAGAAAAGAGGAAGAACAGUAUUUAGGGUGCAAACAAUGGUGGCGCUAGAACUAAACUCAGAUACGCUUUCAAUGUAUCUUCAAAACUUUACAAUCCAAAAGAAUCUACACAACAUAUACACAAUGGAAUAUUACUCAGCCAUUAAAAAGAAUGAAAUACCGGCAUUUUUAGCAACAUGGAUGGACCUGGAAAUUAUCAUGCUAAGUGAAGUCAGCCAGACAAUGAGACACCAACAUCAAAUGCUUUCACUGACAUGUGGAAUCUGAAAAAAGGACAGAAUGAACUUCUUUGCAGAACAGAUACUGACUCACAGACUUUGAAAAACUUACGGUCUCCAAAGGAGACAGUUUGGGGGGUGGGGGGAUGCGCUGGGGUUGUGGGAUGGAAAUCCUAUAAAACUGGGUCGUGGUGAUCAUUGUACAACUACAAAUGCAAUAAAUUCAUUGAGUCAUUUAAAAAAGAAAAGAAAAAGGGAAACAAAAAUGUUAAAUAGAAUGUAAUAAUGAAACAGUUUUUCUGAAAAUAAAAUAAAAUAAAAAUACCCUCCAUUUAAAAAAGAAAGAAAGAAAGAAAGAAUCUACACAAGUAUCCAGUACACAAGGCACAGUUAUCAAUGCCACCUUCUCACCUGUGCCUCACCAUCCACCCCUGCCCCCUGCGGAGGGCAGCAGUCCAGAGACUGUCCAGUCACCCUCCCCCACCAGUAAGGCUGCAUGAGCCACUCCAGAACCACGAUGGGGAGGAAGGAGUGGAGUGAGGCUUCAUUCAGUCCUCCAUGUCUUCAUCUGACCAGGAUGUACUUUUUUGUACAGCUUUAUCAUGAUAUGAAAUUUGUAAGGUUCACUCCUUUUUUUUUUUUUUUUAAAUGGCCACACCCGCAGCAUAUGGAGGUGGCCUUAGAAAUGGCAAAAAGACCAAAAAAAAAAAAAAAAAGAAAAGAAAAAUUAUUGGAUACUACUAAUAAUAAUUUAUUGGGAGUUCCCCAGUGGUCUAGUGGUUAGGAUUCAGGGUUCUCACCGAUAUAGCCUGGGGUUCAAUCCCUGGUCUGGGAACUGAGAUCCCACAUUAAGCCACGGCACACUGCAGCAUAAAUAAAUAAAAUAAAACAAUUUAUCAACUAUACUUAAGUUAAAAAUUUUUUAAAAUAGUAGUUUGGAAGAGAGAUAAAACAAUCUAAUUAAACAAAUAAGGAGAAACCACAAAUAUUAAUACCAGAAAUGCCAUCAUUUGCUCCCUAAAAACUGUGUUAUUCUAAUAGGACUUUCUGUGGUCCUGGACGCGCUCGAUGUCUGCCCUGUCCAAUAUGGAAGCCACCAGCCACAUGGGACUGGGCGAUGAGAAUUUUCAAUUUUACUCAAUUUUAAUUAAUUUUAGUAGCCACAUGCGGCUCAUGGCUACUGUACUGGACAGCACAGCUUUAAAGCUUCUGAUCGGGGGACAUAACUGAAUGUCAAACGGAACAUUUUAAGUAACUGUUUUCUAGAAGAUACGUAAGCUGAGUAAUAAGACAUCAACAUUUACCACAUCCCCCAAGGCAGGGGCUGGAGGGGGUCUGCCUAAGUGGCUCCCUGAGCUGUGACUGCCCUCUGGUCUGUUCGAACAGAAAAAGGACCGCAGGCGCAGCAGGGUUUCUGACCAGACAACUGAAUGGAUGCGCGAGGGAAACGCUCAGGAGUCGGUGCCAAGGCCUGGUUCUCUAAAACCCUCGGAAGCUAUGCCGGUUAUUCCUCUAACUGGGCCUAGACAAGGGCUUGCCAGCCUGGCACCAAACCGCCUCGCUCUGUGCCAGCCCAGUGGGCUCUGAAAGAUGUUUUAAGGCCAGCUGCAAACUGUGUCCUUUCUCCGAAGCCCUUAAUACGAGAUCCCGAACACACACGGGAAAAGGACCAGCGCUUGCGAGCUUUCCCACAGCUUCCCUGGAUUCCCAAAACACUCCCAGAAUGGGACGCCACAGAUCCAAGCCAAGCCAGCUCCAAAUUUCAGAGGCCCCACGGAGCCUUCAAGUCCGGGCCAAAACAGGGCCAGCCUCCUGGGCUGCAGCAGCAAAAAGACACAGCCCAAACAUCUCCUGACUUGGGCAAUGACGGCAGCAGCCGAGUGGCUCCGCUAAGGAACUGGAAAUCCAGUUUAAAAGGAAAUCACAUAACCACUAAUGUGUCCAAGAGAUCUGUAAAUCAAUACCUGUAAAGCGGACCCUGUGAAAGUCAUUCUCCUUCUGACUUAAGGAAUCUGAGCUCCCGCAGGGACGAUGGAUAAUAUUACCCUGAGAGAGAGGCUAUUCUAUUACCACACUCACAAUGUGAAAUUCAAAUCGUCUAAGGUAAAAUAGGCUUCUAAGACUUUUAAUGCUAGGGAAAUAAAUAGAAACUUCGCCAGGGCGCUCUUAUUCGAGAUCAAUUACAUUCACCAUUUAAGAAGUACUUUCUCCUACGGAUCGGCAGGUCCAAUUUUAUAUUUAUCCCCCCCGUAUCUUAGCCUGGAUAGUAAGUAAAAAGGAUUCCCAAUCAAAGGCUGAAAAGCACUAAGGUGUGGGAGAGUGUGCCCGGCACCCAGGAAGGACAGGGCACCACAUCCUGGCUUGCCCAGGGCUUUCAGGGCUUGGGGCGGGGGGCAGCCGGCCCAGAGUAGCUUCGAGAAAUUAACACGUCUACU